rnacentral:rRNA from 1 species
GACGAACGCUGGCGGCGUGCUUAACACAUGCAAGUCGAACGGAAAGGCCCUGCUUUUGUGGGGUGCUCGAGUGGCGAACGGGUGAGUAACACGUGAGUAACCUGCCCUUGACUUUGGGAUAACUUCAGGAAACUGGGGCUAAUACCGGAUAGGAGCUCCUGCUGCAUGGUGGGGGUUGGAAAGUUUCGGCGGUUGGGGAUGGACUCGCGGCUUAUCAGCUUGUUGGUGGGGUAGUGGCUUACCAAGGCUUUGACUGGUAGCCGGCCUGAGAGGGUGACCGGCCACAUUGGGACUUAGAUACGGCCCAGUCGCCAACGGGAGGCAACAGUGGGGAAUAUUGCACAAUGGGCGGAAGCCUGUUGCAGCAACGCCGCGUGCGGGAUGACGUCCUUCGGGUUGUAAACCGCUUUCGCCUGUGACGAAGCGUGAGUGACGGUAAUGGGUAAAGAAGCACCGGCUAACUACGUG